GAUGAAGAACGCAGCGAAAUGCGAUACGUAAUGUUAAUUGCAGAAUUCAGUGAAUCAUCGAAUCUUUGAACGCAUAUUGCGCUCUUUGGUAUUCCGAAGAGCAUGCUUGUUUGAGUAUCAGUAAACACCUCAAAGCUUUUGGAUUUUUUAAUCGAAAAGCUUUGGACUUGAGCAAUCCCAACACCAAUCUUUUUGGGAUCGGUGGCGGGUUGCUUGAAAUGCAGGUGCAGCUGGACAUUCUCCUGAGCUAAAAGCAUAUUCAUUUAGUCCCGUCAAACGGAUUAUUACUUUUGCUGCAGCUAACAUAAAGGGAGUUUGACCGUAUUGGCUGACUGAUGCAGGAUUUCACAAGGGUCGGCAACGAUUCUUGUUAAACUCGAUCUCAAAUCAAGUAAGACUACCCGCUGAACUUAAGCAUAUCAAUAAGCGGAGGA
rnacentral:misc_RNA from 1 species